UGUGUGUGCACAGGGAGGGGGGAGGAGGAGGGGCAGCGGAGUUGCUGAGAUUCAUCAGGCUGGGGCUUCUGAUGAAGGUGGAAGGAGCCCUCAGGGCACAUUCAAGGAGUGUCCUGUGAACACUCUCCAGGGGACAGUGCCCAGAUGAGCAGCGUAGCAACCUGCAUGACCGUGGACUCCUGGGACCGAGGUGCUGGACUCAGUGGUUGCAGGGCUUGGAGUGCAGGCUUCCAGGCUUCAGGCAAACACAGAAGUGGGGUUCUGACUUCUCACUGGAGUCACUGGCCAUGGGUCUUUGUGUGCAGCUCCUGUCACCAAGCACCCACCCACUCCAUGCUGGGCUCUGUCACAUCAGUCCCUUGGCCUCAUCUGUAAUCCUCACGGUCACUCCAUAAGGUUUGAACGGGGAGGCACUGGCCUCAGGGCUCCUUGCUGCUGACAUCAGUUGUGCCCUCGUAGGAGACGUCCUGGUCCUGCCUGCCUCAGAGGCUUCCAUCUGCGGAUUUCCUGAGGUCGUCCCCUUACUCCUCUGCUGCAGUCUCUCUCAACAUUUCAACUGUCUGCUCCAGAAAGUUACUCUGUCACUAAGUAAAAUAAAUACAAACAAAAUAAGCAAUAAUCUACCCCCUUCCUUUCUCCUCUGGUCCCCUCUCUGUCUGCCUGUCACCCCCUCCUCAAUGAGAACGUGGAUCCCUCGUGGCAUUUCUCUGCAGGGAUGGCCCAGGCUUUCCCAGCCCAUGCACUCUCAGCCAGAUCAUUUGCCUGCGGUCCCAUGGCCGUCUCCAAAAUGUGCUCUCCUCCAAAGACUAGUUUUGCUGAUUGUCUUUGUUGCAAACUGUUUUUCUCCACACUACGC
ensembl:lincRNA